AUUGAAAGUAUUCUUCUAACUUUUCCACUAUUUUGGGAAUGUUAGCGCUAUUCAACAGCGUUUCAUUCAAUCUCCACCUAAACUCUCCUUUAGGAAGAUUCGUCAUUUUAUAAGUGAGGAAAACAGGUGCAUGAUCUGAUAAAAGAAUACUUCCAAUUGUUGAUGACACACAAUUCUGCAAUGAUCGUAUAUCGAGGAAUAUAUAAUCCAAACGCUGAUAAGAUUUAUGAGCAGCUGAAUAAUAUGUGUAAUCUUUUUCAGCAGCGUGCAUCAUCCUCCAGGAAUCAGUCAAUCCUAGUGAGGAAAUUGCUGACUUAAUCUUAUUCAGAGACGUCCUAGUAAGCGCAGACAGACCAGAGGAGGAGUCCAAGGUGGGAAGUUUCCUGGACCUCUGGGGAUGCUGUUUCCUUGGUACAACGGUUUGCCAGGAAUCCUGCACCGUCAGUUCAGGGCUCUGUGGACUCUA